GAUGAACGCUUGCUACAGGCUUAACACAUGCAAGUCGAGGGGCAGCAUCAUCAAAGCUUGCUUUGAUGGAUGGCGACCGGCGCACGGGUGAGUAACACGUAUCCAACCUGCCGACAACACUGGGAUAGCCUUUCGAAAGAAAGAUUAAUACCGGAUGGCAUAGUUUUCCCGCAUGGGAUAAUUAUUAAAGAAUUUCGGUUGUCGAUGGGGAUGCGUUCCAUUAGGCAGUUGGCGGGGUAACGGCCCACCAAACCUACGAUGGAUAGGGGUUCUGAGAGGAAGGUCCCCCCCAUUGGAACUGAGACACGGUCCAAACUCCUACGGGAGGCAGCAGUGAGGAAUAUUGGUCAAUGGACGAGAGUCUGAACCAGCCAAGUAGCGUGAAGGAUGACUGCCCUAUGGGUUGUAAACUUCUUUUAUACGGGAAUAAAGUGAGCCACGUGUGGCUUUUUGUAUGUACCGUAUGAAUAAGGAUCGGCUAACUCCGUGCCAGCAGCCGCGGUAAUACGGAGGAUUCGAGCGUUAUCCGGAUUUAUUGGGUUUAAAGGGAGCGUAGGCGGGUUGUUAAGUCAGUUGUGAAAGUUUGCGGCUCAACCGUAAAAUUGCAGUUGAUACUGGCGACCUUGAGUGCAACAGAGGUAGGCGGAAUUCGUGGUGUAGCGGUGAAAUGCUUAGAUAUCACGAAGAACUCCGAUUGCGAAGGCAGCUUACUGGAUUGUAACUGACGCUGAUGCUCGAAAGUGUGGGUAUCAAACAGGAUUAGAUACCCUGGUAGUCCACACAGUAAACGAUGAAUACUCGCUGUUGGCGAUAUACAGUCAGCGGCCAAGCGAAAGCAUUAAGUAUUCCACCUGGGGAGUACGCCGGCAACGGUGAAACUCAAAGGAAUUGACGGGGGCCCGCACAAGCGGAGGAACAUGUGGUUUAAUUCGAUGAUACGCGAGGAACCUUACCCGGGCUUAAAUUGCAACUGACGGAACCGGAAACGGUUCUUUCUUCGGACAGUUGUGAAGGUGCUGCAUGGUUGUCGUCAGCUCGUGCCGUGAGGUGUCGGCUUAAGUGCCAUAACGAGCGCAACCCUUACGGGUAGUUACCAUCAGGUUAUGCUGGGGACUCUACCCGGACUGCCGUCGUAAGAUGUGAGGAAGGUGGGGAUGACGUCAAAUCAGCACGGCCCUUACGUCCGGGGCUACACACGUGUUACAAUGGGGGGUACAGAAGGCAGCUACACGGCGACGUGGUGCUAAUCCCAAAAGCCUCUCUCAGUUCGGAUUGGAGUCUGCAACCCGACUCCAUGAAGCUGGAUUCGCUAGUAAUCGCGCAUCAGCCACGGCGCGGUGAAUACGUUCCCGGGCCUUGUACACACCGCCCGUCAAGCCAUGAAAGCCGGGGGUACCUGAAGUACGUAACCGCGAGGAGCGUCCUAGGGUAAAACUGGUGAUUGGGGCUAAG
rnacentral:rRNA from 1 species